UUUGAGCUUCGAGGCUAGGACUAGGAGCUCAAGAUGAUGGCUAGAAGGCAAAUACUGUUUACUAAAGGAGAUGUAGAUAGAAUGAGAGCAGAGAACAGGAGGAAGGAGGUAGAGAGGACGGAGCAGCUCAAAAUGGUGGCACAAGACAAACUAAUGCGGGCCAACAUGGCCUCCGAGGAGAGAGUGGAAAAGAAGAUACUAGCUAGAAUAUUGCAGAAAGAGGCCACAGAGAAAGAAACAGACGAGAAGAUAGCAGCAUCCAUUUAGAGAGAAAAAGUUAAGAGAACAGCAACUGGAGCAAGAGAAAAGAAUGGCUUUCUUCUUCAAUCUCCUCCUUUCUCCACCCCACUUUACUUCUCCCUCCCUCUUUCUUUGUUUAGGAGUUACAAAAGAUUAAACUUGAAUCCCAAAGAGAUGAGAGACUUUGUCAGCAAAUCAGAGACAAUAGUCAGGAGUUGAGAGAGUUAGAGUCAAAGUUACGUGCUGGAUACAUGAACAAGGAAAGAGCAGCUCAACUUCAAUCGGAACCAAAAGAUAUGAAAAUCAUUCAGGUGGCGAGAGAGAGAUUCAGCGAACAAUGCUGGAGCUGUUGAACCAGCUUGACAGGUUUGACUCAAGAGGUGAUGUGAAAGUCAUAAUGGCUACCAAUAGGAUUGAGACGCUUGACCCCGCCCUCAUUAGACCAGGUCGUAUCGAUAGAAAGAUUGAGUUUCCUCUACCUAACGAGAAGACAAA